rnacentral:misc_RNA from 1 species
GUUUUUAUUCAUUGAUAACAGAAAUGUUCUAUUUAAAAUUAUUGCUGAACAACAGAGAAUCAUUUCUUACAAGCUAAAUUUGAGCUCUAACUGGAAUUCCUCUCCAAGAAACAAAGAAAAGCCCAAAAUCUCCAAGGAAGCAAUCUGUCUAUUGCUAUCAAAGCUUGCCCUUACAUCUGAAUUUCCAUUUUUUGUUUCAUUUUUUGUAUGCAAUUCAUACCCUUUCAACUCCUUGGCAUUUUUUAAUCCUAUAAAUGUCACAUUACCUAUGAUCCAUUUUUUACUCGUUGCAAAUUCUCCAUUAAUGAUGCUUGAUCCGACCAUGGCUAUAUGCCCUACCAUCCCACCAUGAAAUUUCACCAAGCUCCACUUCCCUCCCUCUCCUCCCAUUUUCACACUCUCUCCAUCAUCUAAGAAAACUUCUCCACUACUGUUUUCUCUGCUGCUAAUAACCACUAGCAGAUGGAAUGGUGUCCUUCUAGCUUCUUUUGUUGUCAUGGCUUCUCCUUGUAAGGCCAAAAUGUUACCUUCAUGAACAUGCACAUUUAUAUGAUCUGCUGGAGCAUCAAGUUUCAUGUACUUUCCUGUAUCUGCACUAAGUGAAUGUGAGUAGUUAAAAAGGUCGAACCAAUUUCCAGCCGGGAUGUAUGCAUCAACUGAUACUGCUCCUGGCUUUAGCACAGGUGACACCAUCACACCUUUGCCAAUUAGAAACUGUGAGCUGAUUUCGUAAGUCCUGAUGUCUUGAGGGAAUGAGAAGAAUAGAGGCCGAGCUAUUGGAGUCCCUUUAGUGUGUGCCUCAUACAUCAGUGUGUAGAAGUAAGGAAGUAAUUGGUAUCGGAGACCAAGCACCUUCUUAGCUGUUGCUGCAACAGAAUCCCAUAGAUAAAGCUCUUGACGCUUUUUGUCUUUUGCUGAAUGGUCUCUUGCAAAGGGGUAAAAUGCACCUAGCUGAAUCCAACGACGACAGAGCUCUUCAGUCGUGUCCCCAGAAAAGCCACAUAUGUCAGCACCAACCAUUGGAAUUCCAAACAAUCCAAAAUUCAGUAUAGAUGGAAUAGAGUAAGCUAAAUCAUCCCAUUUGGCAGCAUUGUCUCCAGUCCAAUGUGCUGUGUACUUGCCAGAGCCAAUAAAAGUUGAUCUAGAAAGAAUGAAAGGCCUUUUAUCAGUCACAUUGAUUAGAGCUGCAUUGGUGGUUUUUGAUUCCAAUAAACCAUAAAGGUUAUGAACAUUGUACUCCACAAUGUCUCCAUAAUGUACAGAUGUUGCUGGGAUGGUUUUGUUGUUAAUAGGUCGUCGAACGCCAGCAUUGUUGAUCUUGUACGGAGGAUCAUCAAGUUUAGAGAAAGGUGUGGGAGAAGGAUCUAUGAAGUUGGAUAUCUCAUUCAUGUCAAGCCAGAGACCAUCAAAGGGGAUAAGAUCUCGAAACGUUUUGAUCUCAUUUCUCCAGAACUCUCUACCACCCGGAUUUAGAAAGUCGGGGAAGUAGACUGAUCCAGGCCAGACCCUCCCCAUGUAAGGAAUGCCACCAUGUUUAAUGAAGAUAUCAGCCUCCAUCCCUCUAAUGUAAGUCGCAUAUGUAGAGUUUACACUGAUACCAGGAUCCAAGAUGAGCACAUAUUUCUGACCAUUUUGAUGAAGGGUGUCAACAAAAUUCUUCAUCUUUUCCAAUGGAAAGUUGACAGGAUCAAGAGUGAAAUCCUUGAAUCCAUCCAUGUAAUCAAUAUCUGUCCAGAUUACUUCAAGAGGAAUACCGGCUUUUGCAUAGCCAGCAACCACCCCUUCUACAUCAGAAACGUUCUGGUAACCCCACCUGCAUUGAUGAAAUCCUUCACACAGAACAAUACAAUGAUAACAUGGAAUGAAAUGAGAAUUUGCCCAUUGGAUUCAACUGGUACCAACAGAAGAAACUAAUCUAAACAGAUUAACAGUAGAAGAAGAGAAGAUAUGAACUAUUAAUUACCAAAGGACCAAUAAGGCAUAGGGGCCGGCCGGCCGAUGAGCUCUGUAUAUUGUUGAAUUACCAACUCCGGCGAAGGCCCAGCAAAAAUGUAUAAAUCAAUAAGUCCACCAAUUACCUUAUAACUGAUUUUAUCCCCUCCAUAAGCUAUGUCCAUACCAUUACUAUUAAGCAGCAAAACCCCGUGACUGGUCCCUGCUGCAAACUUACCGUCCGGCGAUGGCGACCUGACGUCGAUGUAAAAUGGGUGGGACCCAUAAAGAUUUAAAUCGACAAUCGCACUGCCAAUGCCAGAAUUCCAUAGAGUAUGCGUCUGAUCACCUGGUACCAACAUAAACGACUUCUUGGUGUGCUCUCCAAGGCCAUACAGGGAAGACCUGUUUUUAGGAAGGGAUGAGGAAAGCUGGAUAUAUUGGUCCUUGAAAACAAGAAAGGUACUAGAAUCUGAAGGGUCCGGCGAGGCAUUGAAAAUAACAUCGCCGGAGGAACGACGGGCAACGGAGAAGCCGAAGGGCGUGGUGUUGUAGAGAGUGAAGAUGAGGUCGGAGUUGGAAUCUGAAAUAAACUGGUUUUCCAAUGAACUGAUAUGGUUCACUGCAAAGUCAACAUUUUGGCGGGGAAUUAUAUCUUGAGGGAUUUCCCAUCUUUGCUUAUUGGAAUCUGCUAUGCGAAUCCUCAAGCGAUCUUUUGACUCGAAGCUGGCAAUCAGGUUUAGAUUUUGAAGGUCAGGACCAAAAGAGGAGGAAUUCUUAAUGAGAUGAAGAUAAGCUUCCAACUUUCCAGAGGCAUCAAUUCCAGCAGAUUGAAUUCUGUAGCCAUACCCAACUGGUUUUGCUUCUCCAUUGGAUAGAUAACAGAGAAAGAAGACGAAAAAGAGAAUCAACUGAUAGGAAAAAAUGAUCAUUUUUGAGGUGAAGAAGAGAAUGCUUUGCUUCAACUGUGAAGUCGAAUUCUAACUUGAGGACGAUCGCAGCAUUCCUUCUUCUUCUUCUAGUUCUGUCGUUUGAUAAAACAGAGGUCUUUGCUUCUUUGGUUAAUAUCUUUAGCUUAAUGGACAUGGGAAAAGACAAGGUUAUUGACCUCUAGUCAAUUUUUU